rnacentral:rRNA from 1 species
GACAGAGGCCUCAAGCGUUAGGCGGAAUCACUGGGCUUAAAGCGUGUGUAGGCGGACGCCUAAGUACCUUGUGAAAUCCCACGGCUCACCCGUGGAACGGCUGGGUAUACUGGGCGUCUUGGGCCAACUAGGGGCAACUGGAACAAGCGGUGGAGCGGUGAAAUGCGUAGAUAUCGCUUGGAACGCCAACGGUGAAAACAGGUUGCUGGGGUUG